GUUAGGAAUAUUGGACAAUGGGCGCAAGCCUGAUCCAGCCAUGCCGCGUGAGUGAUGAAGGCCUUCGGGUUGUAAAGCUCUUUAGUCCACGAAUAUAAUGACUGUAGUGGAAGAAUAAGCCCCGGCUAACUUCGUGCCAGCAGCCGCGGUAAUACGAAGGGGGCGAGCGUUAUUCGGAAUCACUGGGCGUAAAGCGUGCGUAGGCUGUUUUGUAAGUCAGAAGUGAAAGCCCAGGGCUUAACCCUGGAAUUGCUUUUGAAACUACAAGACUCGAAUUCGGGAGAGGAUAGCGGAAUUGUCAGUGUAGCAGUGAAAUGCGUAGAUAUUGACAGGAACACCAGUGGCGCAAGCGGCUAUCUGGACCGAUAUUGACGCUGAGGCACGAAAGCGUGGGGAGCAAACAGGAUUAGAAACCCGAGUAGUCC
rnacentral:rRNA from 1 species